CAAUAGCGUAUAUUUAAGUUGCUGCAGUUAAAAAGCUCGUAGUUGGAUUUCGGGUGGGAAUGGCCGGUCCGCCGUUUCGGUGUGCACUUGCUACGCCCACCUUGCUGCCGGGGACGUGCUCUUGAGUUCACGCUCGGGACACGGAGUCGGCGAGGUUACUUUGAGUAAAUUAGAGUGUUCAAAGCAGGCCUACGCUCUGAAUACAUUAGCAUGGAAUAACACGAUAGGACUCUGGCCUAUCUUGUUGGUCUGUAGGACCGGAGUAAUGAUUAAGAGGGACAGUCGGGGGCAUUCGUAUUUCAUUGUCAGAGGUGAAAUUCUUGGAUUUAUGAAAGACGGACUACUGCGAAAGCAUUUGCCAAGGAUGUUUUCAUUGA
rnacentral:rRNA from 1 species